rnacentral:tRNA from 1 species
GUGGCAUUAGCUCAGUUGGAUAGAGCAACGGCCUUCUAAGCCGUUGGUCACAGGCUCAAAUCCUGCAUGCCGCACCA